GAUGAACGCUGGCGGCGUGCCUAAUACAUGCAAGUCGAGCGAACAGACGCUGAGCUUGCUCCUCUGACGUUAGCGGCGGACGGGUGAGUAACACGUGGAUAACCUACCUAUAAGACUGGGAUAACUUCGGGAACCCGGAGCUAAUACCGGAUAAUAUAUUGAACCGCAUGGUUCAAUAGUGAAAGACGGUUUUGCUGUCACUUAUAGAUGUAUCCGCGUCGCAUUAGCUAGUUGGUAAGGUAACGGCUUACCAAGGCAACGAGACGUAGCCGACCUGAGAGGAGGAUCGGAAACACUAGAACGGAACUACGGUACAGACUACAACGGGAGGCAGCAGUAGAGAAGCGUACUCAAUGGGAGGAAGGCUGACGGAGCAACGCAGCGUGGGGGAUGAGAGUACUCGGAUCGGAAAACACUGUUAUUAGGGAAGAAAAAAUGGGUAAGUAACUAUGAACGUAGUGACGGUACCUAAUCAGAAAGCCACGGCUAACUACGUG
rnacentral:rRNA from 1 species